GGCCUUAUAUUCAUAUUUGUGAUAGUAGAAUGCAAUUCUGGUGGGAUGGAGCAAGCCUCCGUUAAGGCCU
rnacentral:tRNA from 1 species